GACGCUGGCGGCGUGCCUAAUACAUGACAAGUCGAACGGUCUUUCUAUGGAGGCUUGCUCCACUGAGAAGAUAGUGGCGAACGGGUGAGUAACACGUGGGUAACCUGCCAUAAGAGGGGAUAACAUCCGGAAACGGGUGCUAAUACCGCAUAGUUUUCUUGAUCGCAUGAUCGGGAAAGGAAAGACGGCCUUUGUGCUGUCGCUUAUGGAUGGACCCGCGGCGUAUUAGUUAGUUGGUGAGGUAACGGCUCACCAAGACGAUGAUACGUAGCCGACCUGAGAGGGUGAUCGGCCACAUUGGGACUGAGACACGGCCCAAACUCCUACGGGAGGCAGCAGUAGGGAAUCUUCCGCAAUGGACGAAAGUCUGACGGAGCAACGCCGCGUGAGUGAAGAAGGUUUUUCGGAUCGUAAAACUCUGUUGUCAGAGAAGAACAAGUUGGAGAGUAACUGCUCCAGCCUUGACGGUAUCUGACCAGAAAGCCACGGCUAACUACGUGCCAGCAGCAGC
rnacentral:rRNA from 1 species